ACUGAUUCCACCACGGAAACCACUAAACCACAGCGUCAUCUCUGAGGUUGCCUGAGGUGGCCAGAUAUCAGAGCCAAGAGGCCAGAUACAGUGGUGUUUUAUGCCUGUGGAA
rnacentral:lncRNA from 1 species